rnacentral:lncRNA from 1 species
UCAAAUUGGGUUUUAAUUUCAAACUCAUGCUGAUCCUAGUUGGUUUGGUGGCAAUUAAUUAAGUACUAGGCAUCUAACUCACGGCUCAACAUCUAAAUUACUUAAUUAGUUUGUAGUCAAAGUUUUAAUUCACUUGUUUGGAAAUCCCACAGCAAGCAUCUAUGGAAAACCAAGACUUGAUACCAUCUAACGAAGAAAAGUUUGAGGAUUUGCGAGCAGUCUUCCACCAGAGCUUUUAAGUUUGAUAUCGUCAAAUCUCUAUGCUGGGGACAAUGCCUUGUUUCGUGCUAUUUGCAAAACAUGGCGAUCAAUCACCAUUGCUCCUCCACUUCCACUUCCUCUUCCUUCCCCCUUUGAUCAUGCUGAUUCUCCAUUUCCGUGGCUAUUCCAU